rnacentral:rRNA from 1 species
UACGUAGGUGGCGAGCGUUGUCCGGAAUUACUGGGUGUAAAGCGCGUGUAGGCGGGAGGCCAAGUCUGUGGUGAAAUCGCUCGGCUUAACUGGGCGGGGUCCAUGGAAACUGGUCACCUGGAGGUCGGUAGAGGCAAGUGGAAUUCCCGGUGUAGUGGUGAAAUGCGUAGAGAUCGGGAGGAACACCAGUGGCGAAGGCGGCUUGCUGGGCCGGACCUGACGCUGAGACGCGAAGGCGUGGGGGAGCGAACGGG